UCUGUCAGAGGUCCCACUCGUCAAUGAGAUUCAAGGAAGAGACAUGGCGAACUUCUUCAUUCUGCCCUUCCUGAGAAGAAACGCAACAGAUGCGGGCUGUGUGUCGACUGCUAACAACAGUGUUGAGUGGCUGCAGAAGAACUUUGGCCCGUUCUCUCAGUUCGUGUCUCUCACAGAUCUGAUCUCCAUCAACAGACUCUUUGAUCCUGUAUGUCUCCACAUCUACACCUGUGAUUUCAUCAAAGACGAUUUAUAAAAAUAACACCACCAUCACUUUUUCCUUAACUGAUAUUUGCUUAUCCUUCCGUGUGUGUUUAGUUGGAGACCCUGGACAAUCUCACUCCCAAGCAGGUGGCUGGACUGUUGGUUGAAGAGCUACCUGGUCUCCCAGAGAAGAAAGUCGUCAUCAAUACAGUGUUUGAUCAUCUGUUUGUGUCUCCUGUGGAGCGAGGACUUCCUGAUGUUCUUCAAAACCUGCUCUCAAUCUCACAGACGGUAAAAUUUGCACAGUUGUUCUCAGUGGCUCUCCAUCAAACACUACUCUGAUGCCUACUGGUUUAGUCUUUAUGUGUGGUUUGUCUUAAAUGAAAUUUGAAGUAAAUCUGCAAUGUUCAAAUAAGUGAGUUUGAUGAAUCCUAUGCGUGACAACAGCAUUGAUGCUUGUUUGUGUUUCUGCAGACCAUUAUUCCGUGCAGCUCCUACAUACUGAUGUAAGUGUACUUGGUACAUGAUAUUGAGUCUCUGGCCUCUUUGCACUGAGAUCUGCUGUAAUUCUGUGGUUCUUUCUCAGAUUCCAGAGGCUGUUUCAGGCGUUACCUUUCCUGCCGACGGAGAUGGAGACUGUGGUCUUCCAAACAACUGGAGAACUCAAGCAGAAUGGAGCAAGAGGUCAUUCUUGAUCUUCCUCAGUUCUUGCUGUUGAGUCUUCUAGAAGAUCAGCAUGUUUCUAAUUACUUCAUAUGGAAUUAAUUAAUGAAUGUUUGUCUUACUUUCAGACUGUUCACUUCCUGAACCGCCAACAGUACCUGAACCUCCAACAUGUCUGUUCACUCCUGUGAAUGCUACCAGAGUUUGUUCAGGAGUCAACAGUAACGAGACUCUCCUAUCCGCUGCAUCCGUGAGCGCCCCCUGUAGUGUGGACCUGCAGCAAUACAUUUGCUCUUCGCUCACCGGCAUCACUGCUGGAAACCUGGCUGAACUCCUGAAGUGUCAACUUUCAAGCAGCAGAACUUACUCCAAGGAGAUCUGGAAACUAUUUUUCACCAAAGCAAAUGAUGUUCUGGACGGAGCCCUCGUCAUAUUCUCCAGCGCAGCAGCAAAUAUGUCUCAGCCAAUCAGAGGUGAUGUCGUGUCCCAAGUGCUGGAUGUGGUUGGAGAGCUGAGACUGGAGCGCAUCAGUCCUGACCAAUGGACAGACCUCUCUUUCAUCAGCAUGUUGUUGGGUCAAUAUCUGAAGCCGUUUUUACCAUUUGCGUCACCAUCCCUACUGCUGUGCACCAGCAGCAAAAACCUCAGCUGCCAAACUUACCAGCACAUUCUGUCAGAGGUCCCACUCGUCAAUGAGAUUCAAGGAAGAGACAUGGCAAACUUCUUCAUUCUGCCCUUCCUGAGAAGAAACGCAACAGAUGCGGGCUGUGUGGCGACUGCUAACAACAGUGUUGAGUGGCUGCAGAAGAACUUUGGCCCGUUCUCUCAGUUCGUGUCUCUCACAGAUCUGAUCUCCAUCAACAGACUCUUUGAUCCCCUCGAGACCCUGUCUAAUCUCACUCCAGAGCAGAUGGUUGGACUGAUUGUUAAUACUCAGCCUGGUGUGCCACAGAAUUUCAUCAUUAAUACUGUUUUUGAUCAUCUGCUCGUGUCUCCUGUGCAACGAGGAUUUCCAGAUGUUCUUGAGCUCCUUUAUAUUUUCUCCACAAGGAAUCCACUCAGCUGUCAAACCAACCAGAUAAUCUUCACGAGGCUGGAGCAGAUCUUGAGCUCAGGAGCGGGUGAUCUGGAGCCUGUCAUCUGGAAGAGCCUUUAUAACUUCAGCAGCACGGCUCCUGCAGACUGCACUCUUCUUCCAGUCGUGAAUGAGUGUCCCGUGACUCCAUUCAACGAGACUCGGGUGUGCAGCGGAGUGGACAGUUCUGCAGCACAGCAGUGCUUGAACGAAGGACGGAUUUGUGGCUUCAGUAUUGCAGCACAUGCAUGUGCCCCGGUGCUGGAUGUGAACAUGGACUAUCUGGUCACACUACUGAACGCUCAUCUGUCUGUGGAUGACAUGAGCUCAGCUGAGAGCUGGAAACUCUUCCUGACCAGAGUCUCAAACCUGCUGGACGUCGCCCUCCUCCAGCUCUCCAACCAGUCGGUGUGGUGGAGCAGCAGCUCUGCCUCUGUGGCUCUGGACGUCCUGCGGGAGCUGCGUCUGGACAGACUGACGGAUGAGAGCGCUGUAGUGCUGUGGCUCGAUGAACACCUGCGAGCGUUCCUGCCCAGUGCGUCUGGGACGUUCCUGCAGUGUCUGCGCAGCCAGAACCUCAGCUGCCAGAGCUUCCAGACAGUGUAA
rnacentral:lncRNA from 1 species